GAAAGAAAACCAACCGCAUAUUUACCAUCGUCACUCUACACCCUCAACCAACAAAACAACAAUCAACAAUCCAUUUCAAUUGAACAUCAGAAACCUCUUCUCUUCCCUAUCGCUCGACGCCAGCACCACUAACAAUAGAUGGUUCAGAUCUGAAGCUUUAUCAUCCGAUCUAGGAUGAAAAGCUUGCUUGAAGCUUUCACUUGAUGCGGACAGAUCAAGAGAGAGAGAAUAUGACUAUGGGGCACUUUACCUCCAGUUGGUGAUGGAAAACCAGACAAUAGAAGAUUUUGCCUCCAAAAGAGAGGGGAGAAAAGAGAAAUAAUUUUGGAACAGAGCACCAGCCUUCAGAAUCUACAUCUACAUCUACAUACACUUAAUGGGCAGUUUGAAAAGCACUAUUCCUAAGAGAAAUUGCAUCUUGGCCAUUCAUUCUUCAUUUUGAUCCUACGGUAGAGAAAUUGCAGCUUUUGUAAACUUAUGACUCACCAUUGAAGCUUGCAUCUUGGCCAUUCAUUCUUUAUUUUUAUCCUACGGUAGAGAAAUUGCAUCUUUUGUUACUCUCCUUCCCCCAUUCGAUCCACACAGUUCCUGAUCACAAAUUCAAAACCGUAAUUUUAUUUUUCAUUUCAUUUUUAUGAUGGCAUAGCUGUUUGAUUAGGCACAAAAACCCUCAGGUUCUGGUCCCUUUGGAUUUUCCUCCGAGCUAAAUCAAAUGGGUAGUUUGCAAGUUUUUGAUUUGAACAUCUUUUUCCCAUGAAUCUGGUUUCGAUUUUGUGCGAGACCCGAUCGUGGCGGGUCUUGGCCGGAGCUAUCCCUAUUCCAAUGACCAUCUACUGGUAGAGUUAUGGGUUCUUGAUUUUUUAUAUUAAAUCUCCAUCCCAAGCUAUCUAUAAAUACCACCAUUCCUUUGUUUGGGGUUGUAGUAUCCAAACUUAUUUGUGCAUUUUCAUAUUCUGUUGUGUUUUCUUGCUGGUUUUAAUUGCUGGUUUUAAUGGCUGGAGCGUUGAAUCCCCUUCUCUCUGUCUUUGCCUUCUCCACUCUCCUCGUCGUUUCCUUCAUCUGGAUAUUCUCAGCUGGAACUAAUAACAGUAGAUUGGAAACUCUUUGUGGUGGAAGGGAUACAUGGAGGAUUAAAGUAAGAGUCGUUCGAGUAUGGGAGAUGUGCCCAGUUUCUGAACCAUCAAAACCAUAUGCAAUGAGUUUGCAGUAGAAAGAGUGCAACCAAGCAUAUGACAAGAUAAACUGUCUACCCUUUUAAUUUUCAGCACUGUGGCUUAUACCAGUUUUAUCAUUUUUUUUUUCAAUUUGAAAGUAUUGAAGGUGUUUCAUUCAAGAUUACAUUUUUGUUCACUAGAAACUACGAGACAGGACUGUCACCUUUUGAAGUAAUAUGUGCUGUAUUUGAAUUUGAAAUCCAUUAUCACAUAUGCAUAAAUAGGGGUGUGUUUCAGUUGCUGCUUGCAUUCAUCUCAGUAUCUGGGUUUUGUUGUAGUGUUUCAAGCUUUCUGUUUUGAUCUGCAUUAAUGGGUGAUAAUUCUGGACAGGUGAACCCAGGAGUUUAUGUCCAGGCUAGGAACAGGAGAAACAUCAGAUUGAACCGAAAAAUUUGCAAAAGCUGAAGUAGUUCAAACCCACCAUGGAUGAGAAGAUGGGAAUCAGAUGCAGUUACCUUUUUAGACUUGAUGAUGGUAACAUGGUUAGUACUUAAGUAGAGUAAUAUGUAAAUUUUAGAUUUUGAAAGUUUGAUGUUGAUUCUCUAAGAUUUGUGUUUUUCGUUUGUGGGGGAUGUGUCCUAUUGGUGAUUCCUCAAAACCAUGCUAUGCAUCUUGUCCUAAAUGAUGCAGAGGUUAUAUUUUUGGCAUGUUAUUGUUUUAUAGUUUUCUGUCCUACAAUUACUACAGUCAUUUACAGGGUGUGAAAAUUGAGGCUUCCAUCAAGAAAAAUCACAUUAGUAAAUACGUAAGUGACUUGGCUGAAAAUUGAUUUGGAUCUCUUUUUUCCUUGCUGCAUUUUCACAUGCUGAAAUACAUGGGAGUACAGGAAAAUAACGAGAGAAGGUGUUAAUCUUUCAAAUGUGACGGCAGGCAGGUCGUUCGUUAGAUAGCUAAUUUUUUGCUGCUUGACUAUGAGGUGUCUACAAGGGAAACACAUUACAACACCUGGAGAGAGCAAACUCCAUAAUAUUGGGAUAGUGUAGGCAUACUUAAUUAUAUAAGUUUCAGAUUCUAGAAUUUGCUAUUGUUUUAAUAUGAUAUUGUACACAGAUAUUGUACACAGAUAUUCUCACUUCAAGUUAGGUUUUUCAGCUA